rnacentral:lncRNA from 1 species
AAGCUGCCAGAGAUUUUCAGCCAGUUUUCGGUGAAGCCGGAGUCUGUGGAAGCUGAUAUAAUCAAGGGGACAAUUGAAGAGUGUGAGAGCUCAGGCAUCAGAGGAGAGGAGAAGUAUUGUGCUACCUCUUUGGAGUCAAUGGUUGACUUCAGCACUUCCAAGCUUGGAGGAAACAUUCAAGCAAUCUCAACAGAGGCAGAGAAAGGAGCCACGUUGCAGAAGUACACUAUUACCCCUGGAGUGAAGAAGCUGGCAGCUGGUAAAUCAGUUGUGUGCCACAAGCAGACCUAUCCUUACGCUGUUUUCUACUGCCAUGCAACAAAAACAACAAGAGCUUAUGUGGUGCCUCUGAAGGGUGCUGAUGGGUUGGAGGCUAAAGCAGUAGCAGUUUGCCACACAGACACAUCAGAGUGGAACCCAAAGCAUUUGGCCUUCCAAGUGCUAAAAGUUAAGCCAGG